GUUUUGAGCAGGGAGAACUAAUGCUGGUUUCUUUUGCAUGCAUAUUCCAAAACCCGACCCUGCUUAGGUAAGGAACUGGAGAAGAGGGGGAAUAAAAAUAAGAAAGGCAAGAUGGUCAGAUGGGUCCGAGAAGACUUCUUUAUCCCUGGGCCCUCCCUCUUCCACUACAACAUCGCAAAAGUGGCCAAGGCUUUUGGGGAGCACCUCACGCCCAGCCAGAUCAAUGAAGUCGUGUUGAAGGCGAUUGACAACCUGACAGUGGAAGACAGAGCCGUCUCUCAGGCUGCAGGAAAGCUCCUAAGGUCCUUCCUUGAGGAAUGUGGAAUUGAGAUGGAAAACCUGCCUAUGGUUGUCAAGGAGAUUUACUACCAUCUCCCCCAGAUCCUCGACACCCACACUAAGGAACAGACGCUUUCGGCUAUUGUCAGCCUAGCCACCAAGCGCCUGCAGCCGGUCGUAGACAGCCUGUUGGACUGCUCGAUGGAGUGUGAUGAAAGUGCCGCAGAGAUCUGGAAGGCGUUGGUUGCCAAUCUGUAUACCAGCGGCAAGCUGCUGAGACCCCUACUGAAAAGGCUGCAGGAUGAAGACCCCAAAGCGGAAGUCACUUCCAGGCGACGCAGCACUUCUCAAAUGCCAAUGGCGGUCAGUU
rnacentral:lncRNA from 1 species